rnacentral:rRNA from 1 species
GCUACUCCUAUGGGAGGCAGCAGUGGGGAAUAUUUGCCACAAUGGGCGAAAGCCUGAGGCAGGGACGCCGCGUGAGGGAUGACGGCCUUGGGUUUGUUAAACCUCUUUCAGCAGGGAAGAAGCGCAAGUGACGGUACCGCCAGAAGAAGCACCGGCUAACUACGUGCCAGCAGCCGCGGUAAUACGUAGGGUGCGAGCCUUGUCCGGAAUUAUUGGGCGUAAAGAGCUUGUAGGUGGUUUGUCGCGUCUGCUGUGAAAAUCCGAGGCUCAACCUCGGACUUGCAGUGGGUACGGGCAGACUAGAGUGUGGUAGGGGAGACUGGAAUUCCUGGUGUAGCGGUGGAAUGCGCAGAUAUCAGGAGGAACACCGAUGGCGAAGGCAGGUCUCUGGGCCAUUACUGACACUGAGAAGCGAAAGCAUGGGGAGCGAACAGGAUUAGAUACCCUGGUAGUCCAUGCCGUAAACGUUGGGAACUAGGUGUGGGUCUCAUUCCACGAGAUCCGUGCCGCAGCUAACGCAUUAAGUUCCCCGCCUGGGGAGUACGGCCGCAAGGCUAAAACUCAAAGGAAUUGACGGGGGCCCGCACAAGCGGCGGAGCAUGCGAGAGUAAUUCGAUGCAACGCGAAGAACCUUACCAAGGCUUGACAUACACCGGAAUCACUCAGAGAUGGGGGUUUUAGG